UACGUAGGGUGCAAGCGUUGUCCGGAAUUAUUGGGCGUAAAGAGCUCGUAGGCGGUUUUGUUGCGUCGGCUGUGAAAUCCCGAGGCUCAACCUCGGGUCUGCAGUCGAUACGAGCAAACUAGAGUGUUGCAGGGGAGACUGGAAUUCCUGGUGUAGCGGUGAAAUGCGCAGAUAUCAGGAGGAACACCGGUGGCGAAGGCGGCUCUCUAGUACGGUACUGACGCUGAGACGCGAAAGCGUGGGGAGCGAACAGG
rnacentral:rRNA from 1 species